rnacentral:lncRNA from 1 species
UAUACAAUUAACCCAGCUAAUUCACUUACAGCAUGCUGGCAGCCUUUUGCGGUGCAUUGAUUGUGUAGAGAAAGAGAGGUUUGAAGAGCCGCACCACAUGUAAGUGAUUUGUGAACAAUCGAUGAAUCUUAUUAGCUCUAACGAAGUGAAUGCCUAAAAAUGCGAGAUCAAUGUAUGUAUUUUGGAAUCUGAUCUGAAGCAUCUCCCUUCUUAAGUAGAGAAGAAUUAUAUCACGAGUCACGGCACAUUUUGCUUUAUCAGAUGUCCUUUAGUCAUGUUAGUGAUAUAAAAACAUUUUAAUCAAAAUGGUAUUUGAGAUUUGCAUAAUUCAUCACUUUAGUCUCUGAGAUUUGAAAUCCAUAUAAGUGAUCCCUGAGAUUAUCCACUAUCAAUCAUUUUGGUCCUUGGGUGAAAAAUUAUGUUAAAUAAAGAUCAAAAUGAUAAAAUGACCCUCAAUUUAAUAAACGGCCAAAAUGAUUUGACCAAAAUUGAGAGUAUUUUUGUCAUUUUAUCCUUAUUUUAUGGAGAUUUUUCACUGAAUGACCAAAAUGAUUGAUUGUACACAAAUUCAGAGACCAAUUCUAUCGAUUUCAAAUCUCAAGGACCAAAGUGAGGAGUUAUGCAAAUCUCAGGGACCAUUUUGGUUAAAAACGUAAAAUAAAUAAUAUUAUAAACUAUUUUUCAAAGUGCAAUGAAAAUCAGUUAAAAGACUAAUGGGCAUAUUACAAAGGUAAGUAGAUAGAAUACUUUGUAAACUGCAAGGGAAUAAAAAAAAAAAGGGAUAAUGCUAUAAACCAAAUGAUGUGUUUGUUGAUGAUAUAAUUAUUACUUAAGUGUUGAUUAAGUGCUCAUUUUCUAUUGAUGACACAUGAUUUGGUCAUAGAAACUCAAACCAAACCCCAUUCUUGAGGCCUUGCAUACUGAAGAUGAGAGCUGCAGAAGAACUCUAAUCCCAACAAGCAUGUCAUCGCCCUUAGGUAAGUGGUUAACUUGG